AGCCGGGUGGCGUAGUGGUUUGAGCAUUGGACUAAGACUCUGGAGACCAGGGUUCGAAUUCCUGCCAUUA